rnacentral:rRNA from 11 species
GACUAUCGAGUAAUUGUUUAUCUUUUUAAUAACUGUUUUCCAUAGGAGACGAUGAUGUUCAGCACAUAUGCCUCUACUAUUCAUGUCCUUGUAAUUCUACCCUUAUACGUAUGUGAUUGCGUGUAUAUCAGUACACGUAAUAUUUUAUCUAAUGCCUGUUCCCUUGUUGCAUUAAUUAUUACCUAUUUUGGUUUAUGUCAACGCUUGUCACAUUUACCUUUCACGCUUCGCUUCUCACCUUCCUGUCGAUUGGAGAAAGUGAAUACCUAAAAUAAAUUUAUCUAACUUUAUUCUUUAUUGCUUUUGUGUUACCGCUGUCACACAAACAGAUUUACCUCAAGCCUAAUAUACAAAAUUAAUUGUUAAACUUAUAUUCUACACACAAUUUCAGGAGUGGAAUAGUUUGACUCACACAAACUGUUUAUGCUACUAAAUAUUUUGUUAGUAGGCAGUUGGGAGAACGAAAUUCGCUUGUCAUGAGUUAACUCCACCCGUUUACCUUUGAACGGUUUCACACACCGUUUACUCUCUCUUUAAAGUACUUUUCAACUUUCCCUCACGGUACUUGUUUGCUAUCAGACUCGUGUAAGUAUUUAGCCUUGGAUGGAGUUUACCACCCACUUUGGGCUGCAUUCACAAACAACCCGACUCCAAGGGUAGCACAGAGCAGAGCUAUCACACUUGAUCUCUGCCCCCACGGGUCUUUCACCCUCUUUGGGCCAUAAUGGGAAGCCGUGUAGAGGAUUAAUUCCUCUAUAUCUGACUCCAGAUCAGAAGGCUGCGUGUUAGGAUCACGUCGGGCUCACCAACUUUGUAGAAUAAUGGUGCGUGUUCAAAAUGCGGCUCACCAAUUUUGUAGAGGAUUAUUUCCUCUAUAUCUGACUCCAAUAAAUAAAUAAUAUCCCGCUAACUGAAUAUUUACUGCAGGCUAAAUCUCCUAGUAGAAUUACGGGUUUACUCGAGAUUUAUUCAAAAGCCUGAACAUCAGUUAUAGAGAUAGUUUAUUGUUGAAGCUCGGUAAAAUCCGCAAGCGUACAGAUAGCAAGCACACCGGGAAAACAAGUGAGUGUGUGUGUGAGUGUUCAAAAAUCCAUAUAUAUUUAUUAGUGUUAAUGGAUUGUGGAUAAAUUAUUGAUUGUCUUUGUUUACAACCAAUGAGAGAACAGAUUAAGGAUUGAUGUGCAGACAUGCGCUCAAUCAGACUCACACAUAAAUUUACAGUGGGUUAAAUAUUAGGAUUACAGAGAGCACACAAAAAAUACAGUAGUUGAAUGGGCUUGCUACAGCCGUACUCAUUGCUGGACUUAGGACAGAGAAGUAAAGCCUGAAGCCAACCUAAACGCCACAUUGCCUCACGAUCAAUUAACCGCAGGCUUCUGUGUUGUGCGAAUUCCUGUUCAGUCGCAGUUACUAAGGCAAUCCUUGUUAGUUUCUUUUCCUCCGCUUAGUGAUAUGCUUAAGUUCAGCGGGUAAUCACGUCUGAUCCGAGGUCGGGGUCAAUUAAAUAAUUCGUGCAUAAUACACACACAAUCGGUGCAAACCAUAGACCAAACCAGAGACAAGAUCAAGUGAUUAACGUAGCAUACGAUAGGUGCAAAUUCUCCCGAGCGUGUAUAAUGUCAUUAAGUCACGACUCGAGCACAACCCACUGCAGCAUCUCAAUCAAGUCAUCUAGACCAGACUAGGCUGUGGC